GUAGUUCGCUACUGGUAGCCAAGAUGGCGUCUUGUCUGGAGAGAUCGUAUUAAUUUCAAUUAAAAUCAGUGGUAUUUCGGAGUUUCUUUGUGCAAAACUAUCAAAUAAUAAGUAUGCAAUUAAAAUUUGAACGGGUAGUAUCAUUAAACUCGCGAAUUUAACGUAGACAAGUGUAUUAUGCGAACGUGGUUAUGGACGGCGUUACUACGCAGUUUCAUCAACAAACGACCGUCACAGAAAUCGACAGAAACUGUCAUGGCUGCCAGUCACGUCGACGAGAAAGAUUUUCCACCGUUUAUUUUGCACGGAAGCAGAUUUCAUUAUUAAGACGUCAACACGAAUCAUCCUCGUCGUUUCGAUAGAGGACAUCCAAGUGAUAAACAUCUCUCGAUUUGUUGCUCGAAUUCUUCCUCUCGGACAACCUCUGACACUUGGGCGCUGAUGGGUGUCACUGAUGGGCGCCAUGGACAGGGUGAGACCAAACGGAUCUGUUUUCCCUUCUUCACGGGAGGAUUAACGUCGUGGAAAGAAUGAAAUGUUGGCGGAAGAAGGAAUAAGAGGGUGAAUUAGACGAUAGAAGAGAAUCUACGGGGAUCGAUGACACCCACUGUCCCAUGACAAUUGGAGAUGCUGGGAAAGGAGUGGUUGCUGGACACGCAGUUUCACUUCGAUUUUUCGUGAUCUAUCCAGCGGUGUAGAGGUCUUUAGGAUGACACCCACUGUCCCAUGACAAUUGGAGAUGCUGGGAAAGGAGUGGUUGCUGGACACGCAGAUAAGUAGCUACACACCUGGACCAUUUGACCACGUGCGUGAAUGUCCUGUAUGUUGCUGGACGAUACCAUGGACACUGUAUUAGUACCGGUAAUUUCGCCAUGAUGCACUGGACAUGGAUCACAGCGGAAGACAGAUGACAUUGUUACGUGUCUCUCCAGACAGAGAGACAAUGACCCAUCAUAACAUAGCGACCAGCUGGAUAGAAAUAUUGCGAUAUAUUGUAUUAAUUUAAAAAAUUUAUGUAUCUUUGAUUUUCUAAGUCGUUAUUAACGUUUCAUCGAACAGAGUUGGUAAAUGUUGUUGAUUGAAAAAAAAAAAAAAAAAAUAAAAAGAGUAAGAGAGGAAAUGUAUCCCUUUUCCAUAGAGUCGAAUCGUCAUUUGCCGUGUAUCUAGUCGGCAGACGAUGAAUAUCUCGUCCGGGACACGACGGUGAUAACAAUGAUAAUGACGAUGACGAGCAGCAGAGACCGAGUCGAAUGACAGAGUCGAGCGAACCACGUCUCGUAGACAAUGCCUGCUGAAUUUCCGCUCCGGUUAUUCACCACUGUGUUAUGCAUAAAAUGAGCGCCGAAUCUGAUACACACACGUGCGCGCGUCUUGAUGCAAGAGCUUUGUGAAUGAGAACCAUUCGAACGGGCUUGAUGACACUUCGAUACGUUUCUCCCGGAACGACAAGAUUGCAUCCGUUUCUAUCGAUCGGCUACGAUGACAGCUUUCAGAUUCACCAAGCUUGGAAAACAGAACGGAAAGUUGCAGUCUGAUGGUUGAUUACAGUCAGAGAGAAUCGGGAGAUUUGAGGUAACGCGAUUUCAACUUAAAUUGUUAUAAAAUGGAACUUAAGCUUUAUAACGUAGAAUUUAAGAUUUCUAACUCCUAUUUGGAGUAAAGACUUCAAAAAUUGUUCUAUCAUCAGAUUGUUGCAUUAUGCUUUCCUAGAAUUACCAAGAUUCUUUCUACUGUUCUUUCCUUUGGUACCAAGAAUCCGUCCGGAAGGUCGGCGACGCACGGUACUUAGACUUAAGGCUGCGUUCAGACACGGCUGGUAAUUUAGUCGAAUGGCGAGUAAUUUAGUAACUUGCUAUGUAUGGACACUACAGUUUAAUCGAGUAGUUUAGUAAAACGAUUUAGUCGAGUAGAUCCGUUUCAUAGAAGCCUAACUAGACUUCUCCCACCACUAACUAAGCUUCCGAACAGAUCUGUCCGGACGCAUUUUUUUAGUCAAGCGUUCAGCCGAUUUCCAAAGCUCAAUUGUACUAGUCCGGACACUUUUCUAUGCGCUAAUCGGUUUAGUAGUAAGUAGCUACUCGCUACUCGACUAAAUUACUAGCCGGGUUUGAACCAGCCUUUAGUUGCAAUUUAGAAUUCGUGAUCGCGCGAGUCCCUCAGCGUUAGUGAUCUAACUUAACAUCUUCGAAACGUCAAGAGUCGUAGUAUCGUAGAAAUAUGUAGAAAGCAGCAAGAGAGACGUUCUCCAAUAAUUCUCGCGGCAUUUCUGAAUGCCAUCCUGGAAGAUCGCCGCUAUGGGAGUCGUCGAUCGUAAAUCUUGUUCUUGACCGUCGCUCGGUGCGACAUAAAUCCGACGUGGCGGCCGCGUUUCGGAAUUUUAUUUCUUCCUUAGGCAGGUUUUAUCCUAAAAUAUUAUAUCCGCCAGGGUUAAAGUGUCAAGAUAGGUGAAACGGUGAGUUCCAAGAGCGAGAGAGCCAUUCAAAAAGGAAAGGAAUCUAGUUUCUGCUGUAAAUUCGAUUAACGAACCCUAAAGAGUUCACGCGUAAAAUUUAUAGCAAACAAAUAAAUAGACAAAGGCGAAAAAAAA